rnacentral:tRNA from 1 species
GGGCCCGUAGCCUAGCCAGGAUAGGGCGCCGGCCUCCGGAGCCGGUGGUCCGGGGUUCAAAUCCCCGCGGGCCCG